AUUGAGAAAGAAAAGAAGGAAAAUGAGUAACUAAAAACUGAAUCUUUUAUUAUGAAUACAUUCAAAAUCCCAUAGGAUUAGUUGGAAAAGUAACAAAAGCUUAGAAAUAUAGAGCAAAAGAAAGAUAAAUAAAGACAAUCGGCUCAAGAAAAGGUCAUGCUUUGAGCAAAAUAGGAAAAGGUACAAUCCUGAGUAAACAAGUGACAAGAA
rnacentral:lncRNA from 1 species